AUGCUUGAUGAGAAUGAAGUCUCUGGUGAAAUACCAAGGCACAUAGGCAACAUGACCAAUCUCAUGACACUCACCUUGUCAGACAAUCACUUAGUUGGUCAUAUCCCUUUUGAAGUAGGCCACCUAAAGCACUUGGUUGUGUUGGAUUUGUCUAUUAAUAAUCUUUCCGGCUCAAUCCCACCCAAUGUAGGUAACUUGACCAAACUCACUACAUUGCUCCUUUUCCAGAACCAACUGUCUGACCAAAUUCCAAUAGAACUUUGUCGUUUGGCCAACUUGAAUGACUUGCGCCUUAGCUUCAACAAGCUGGUAGGUUCCAUCCCAAAUAGCUUAUCAAAUUUGACAAAACUCACUCUCUUGUACCUUGGCAUGAACCAACUUUCUGGGUAA
rnacentral:rRNA from 1 species